CUCUCCUUAGCUCAGUUGGAAGAGCGCAAGGUACGCACAAGUACCUUCGACAUCACAGAUGUUGUUGCUGACUCUUCUUCCAGACUGUAAUGGCAAUAAACCCGUCUUCUGACAUCUUGAGGUCCCUGGUUCGAACCCGGGAGGGGAGA